UCCCCAACCUGCACGCGUCAGACUCUGUUCCUGCAAGACCCCCCGGCCCCCUCCCAGACGGACGGAUGGAGUUGAGCCAGCCAGGGGCCGGGCUGGGGGUGGCCCCUCCCUCCCUCCUCUUCCCCUCUCCCGUCUCCCUUUCCCCAACCUCCUCCAGCAACCCAGGGAUCAAACACACACAUAACGUACCCACUUACAUAUUGUACCUACGUGUUGGAGAGAGACAGAGAGGGAGACUCGACACACGUACAAACAGACGCACGUCCCUCCAGUUUUCUGACAUGCUCUCCUUUUCUGCCGUCUAUCCACAUCCUUUUCCCCACAUCCCUCCCAUGGUCGCUGUUCUUUUAUUUUUGGUAGCCCUGACCUCCCCCA
rnacentral:lncRNA from 1 species